CGCCUACGGGAGGCUGCAGUGGGGAAUAUUGCACAAUGGGCGAAAGCCUGAUGCAGCAACGCCGCGUGAGGGAUGACGGCCUUCGGGUUGUAAACCUCUUUUAGCAGGGAAGAAGCGAAAGUGACGGUACCUGCAGAAAAAGCGCCGGCUAACUACGUGCCAGCAGCCGCGGUAAUACGUAGGGCGCAAGCGUUAUCCGGAAUUAUUGGGCGUAAAGAGCUCGUAGGCGGUUUGUCGCGUCUGCUGUGAAAUCCCGAGGCUCAACUUCGGGUCUGCAGUGGGUACGGGCAGACUAGAGUGCGGUAGGGGAGAUUGGAAUUCCUGGUGUAGCGGUGGAAUGCGCAGAUAUCAGGAGGAACACCGAUGGCGAAGGCAGAUCUCUGGGCCGUAACUGACGCUGAGGGACGAAAGCGUGGGUAGCAAACAGGAUUAGAUACCCUUGUAGUCGA
rnacentral:rRNA from 1 species